GGUCAAGCGGUUAAGACACCGCCCUUUCACGGCGGUAACACGGGUUCGAGUCCCGGUCACGCAGGAGAUCGCGGGUUCGAUUCCCGUCGAGA
rnacentral:tRNA from 1 species